rnacentral:rRNA from 1 species
CCUACGGGUGGCAGCAGUGGGGGAUAUUGCACAAUGGGGGGAACCCUGAUGCAGCGACGCCGCGUGGGUGAAGGAGCGUUUCGGCGCGUAAAGCCCUAUCGGCAGGGAAGAAGGAGGACGGUACCUGACUACGACGCCCCGGCUAACUACGUGCCAGCAGCCGCGGUAAUACGUAGGGGGCAAGCGUUAUCCGGAUUUACUGGGUGUACAGGGGGCGCAGACGGCAGGGCAAGCCAGGAGGGAAAGCCCGGGGCCUAACCCCGGGACGGGUCUGGGAACUGCGCGGCUGGAGUGCAGGAGGGGCAGGGGGAAGUCCUGGGGUAGCGGUGAAAUGCGUAGAUAUCAGGAGGAACACCGGUGGCGAAGGCGGCCUGCUGGACAGCGACUGACGUUGAGGCCCGAAAGCGUGGGGAGCAAACAGGAUUAGAUACCCCAGUAGUC